AUGAGGCCACGGCCGCCGGCUCUCGUGAGCAGCCUCCUCCUCCUCCUCCUACUAUUCGCGGUGCCGAGGCAUGCCGCCGCGGCGGGAGGGGACGGCGGUGGCAUGGUGCGGGUGGACGGCACGCGGUUCGUGGCGGGGGACGGCGACCGGACGGUGUACCUCAGCGGGUUCAACGCCUACUGGCUCAUGGAGAUGGCCUCCGACCCGUCCCGGCGGGGCGGGGUGGUGUCGGCGUUCCGGCAGGCGGCCGCGCACGGCCUCAACCUCGCGCGCACCUGGGCCUUCAGCGACGGCGGCGACCGACCGCUGCAGUCCUCGCCGGGCGUCUACCACGAGGACAUGUUCCAGGGCCUGGACUUCGUCAUCGCCGAGGCGAGGCGGCACGGGAUAUACCUCCUCCUCUGCCUCACCAACAACUUCGACGACUUCGGCGGCAAGCGCCAGUACGUCCAGUGGGCGAGGGAGGACGUCGCCGCCGGCGCCGCCGCCCACAACCUCACCUCCGCCGACGACUUCUUCAACUCCACCCUCGUCAAGUCCUACUACAAGAACCACGUCAAGACGGUGCUGACGAGGGUGAACACGGUGACCGGCGUGGCGUACAAGGACGACCCGGCCAUCUUCGGGUGGGAGCUGAUGAACGAGCCGCGGUGCGGCGCCGAGCCCACGGGCGCCCUGGUGCAGGCGUGGGUGGAGGAGAUGGCGCCGUACCUGAAGACCAUCGACGCCGCCCACCUGGUCACGGCGGGGCUGGAGGGCUUCUACGGCGACGGCGCGCACGAGAGCAAGGAGCUCAACCCGUGGGGCAUCUACUACGGCACCAACUUCGUGGCCACGCACCAGGCCGCCGGGAUCGACUUCGCCACCAUCCACCUCUACCCGGACGUCUGGCUCUGGGGCUCCACCGCCGACCAGCAGGCGCGCUUCUUCCGCAACUGGACGGCGUCGCAUGUCAGUGACACCGAGCGCCACCUCCGCAAGCCGCUCCUCGUCACCGAGUACGGCAAGUUCCUCUGGGAGGAGGGCGGCGAGAACGCCACGUCCGCCACGCAGAGGAGGGACCGCUUUCUCGGCAUGGUGCUCGACGCCAUCUACGAGUCGGCGUCGCGGGGCGGGCCGCUCGUCGGUGGGGCGUUCUGGCAGCUGCUCCUCGACGGCGACGGCAUGGACGCGCUCAAGGACGGGUACCAGAUAGUGCUCCCCGAGGACGCCCGCGCCGCCACCAUCAUCAGCGAUCACUCCGAGAAGAUGGCCGAGCUCAGCAAGCAGGUCGCGGCGGAGGCCGGUCGCCGGUGGAGUAGGAAGAUCGGCAGUUUUGUCAGCUGGGAUGGUACUCAUCCUUACGUCCAAAGAUUCUUGAUUCGUUUCGUCUCUCUGUUCAGAUCAGUUUCUUCACUGUUUGGUCCUACGAUACAUGUAGCUAGCUAG
rnacentral:rRNA from 1 species